CAGUGAGCCAAGAUUGUGCCAUUGUACUCCAGCAUGGAUGACACAGUGAGACUCUGUCUAAAACAAAAAAAAAAACACGUAUCACAACUAUUUUCCCAUGUUGUUAAAAAUUACACCAGUAAUAUAAGAGAAUAUUGGGUGCCCUGUACCCUUGCCAAUACUGGACAUUCUCACUUUUUCGGUAUUUCCCAAUAUGAUAUGUGAAAACCGUCAUGUCCUUGUUUUGAUUUGCAUUUUCCCCAAGCAUCAGCGAGGUUUAAUGGUUUUCAUAUUUUAAAAAAGUACUUUUUAAAAUAAGUAUUUUUACUGUACCAGUAAAAACGAGGCUUUGCAGUCUUGCACCUGCUAUAUAACAUGCUCUCGGUUGAUGGCCAUGCACCUUCAGUCAGAAUUUAUAUAUAAAUAUAUGCACCCAUUGUUUUGAGUGCAUAUAAUUGGACCUAAAAAUCUUUUUGAUUAGAUGAAACACCAGAAAUAUAAGGAAAAUAACACAGCAGAGGAAUAACUCAGCCUGAACAGUGAGGUGGUCCCAGCUAAUUACAUGAGGUGCAGUUUUUUUGUUCCCUUCUAUUCUUUGGAUAUGGUUACGGCGUUUGUAGGCUUGGAGGUAAAGAACUGAAGAUAACUGGUACUGGAUAGAGGAGCCUUUAUUUUUAUUAUGGCAGCUUGCUAUUUUUAUAACAUGGUCAUUGAGUUGAAAACAAUCAAAGUACAGUAGCAACUGAUCUUCCCUUCUUCCUGGAUGAGUGAGCAGAUGAUUACUGAUGUCAGCAUCCCUGAACCAUAUAAAAGUGAGCAGUGUUUGGCGAUGCUUUUGUUUGAAAUGAUACUGUGUUUUGGUUGUAGUCCGAAGCUUUGAAGCGCUACUUAACAUCUCCUUUCUUCCAUGGAGCUCUCACCAUUCAAACAUGACACAUUUGGUAAAAUACUAGUUAGGUUGAGUCUUCCUUGCCCCCACUCAGUCAUCUUUGAAUGAAUCCCAUAGUUUGGGAUUUUUUUCUUUUUUUUUUUCCUUUUUUUAAAAACGUUUUUAGCUGGUGUUCAUGAAGAACAGUGAGUACCUAGAACUGUGCCACUAAGUAAAGGAAAUCCUAAGAAGGUUCAUUUCUUUACAGAGCUGUGUCAUGCCAUCCUUUGGGCCCUCUGCUGGAAAAGUAGAAUCAAGUCUCAAAUAAUGCCUUUUUAAUUGUAUUAUAGAUAUAGGACAGUACUGUAUCAUACCUCUGUGAAUGUAAAAUAUCUUGUUACCUGCUUUAUGAUAUGUAGUAGUGACCGUGCUUUAUCAGACCUGUUUUAAAUGAUGUUACUCUAGAAUGUUUUCUUUCCAGAUGAUGAUUCAGAAGCUAAUUUUUAAAAAUGGUGCCAGGGACCAGUUACAACAGUAACAGAACUUUGCAAUUUUGGGGGGUUUUGUUUUUUACCUUUUUCUCCCCUUUUUUUAAAAUGGAGUGUGCUGGAUGUCUCUAUAAUUUUGUUCAGAUGACUGCAGAACCUGGAAAAACUGUUGCUCCUAUUGAUGCAUAACAUACUGCUAUUAUUGGUCUACACACACACACACACACACACACACACACGAUUUGAAUUUUUGGAAACUGUAGCUGUGCUGUCAACUUUGGAAAAAGUAUCCCAGUGUACUGUGUUGACUUGGCAUUGUACAGAGAUUAAAAGCCAUAUUGGUCUAGAAACAUUAAACUUAAACAUUGAACUUAAUUUUUUUCCAUUUGUACAGGGGUAACACUUCUUUAUAUAGAAGUUUUAACUUACGUGGUCAGAUCUUUCGCUUAAAAAAAUUCAUUAUUCAACUUGAAAAUCUUUUACUUCAUUAUAGGUUUGGUUUUUUGUUUUUUUUUUUUAUUGUUUAGCAAAAUCUCUACCAUCCCAAGAUUAUUUUAAAAAGUUUUUCACUUAUUUUAUGUGAAAAAAUUUUUUUCCACACUGAGCUCAUUUAGUUUGUAUGGAAUUUCCUUUUGCAUUUAUCAUGAGGGUAGGAAUCUAACAUUUUCCCCAAAUGGAUAGGAUUUUACGUCUCUCAGUUCACUGACCUGUUCAUAUUUCAAAUGCCACAAAGUCUUCCUGCAUCCAUGAGGCCUCUUUCUGGAUUUUCAGUUCUGUUCCAGUGACAGGUCUGUUUGUGUUUAUUCCAUUACUUUGCCUCCCCUGUGGCUUUUUAUAGACGUUUGAUAUCUGAUAGGGCAAAUAUGCUCAUUUUCAAUUUUUUCUUAGCUAUUCUCAUGAAUUUACUGUUUCUGGUGAAUUUUAGAAUUAUUUUGAUGAAUUUUAAGACAAAUCCCAUUGAGAUUAUGAUUACAAUUGGCUGAAUUUAUAGAUGAAUAUGGAAAAUACUCAAUUCUCACUAGCAGGUCUUUCCAUAAAGGAGGAUACUGUUUCUGUUUAUUCUGGAGUUGCCUCUCUGUUAAUGGUUUUAACGUAGAUGCUCACUGUAGCACUGUUUUAUUCGAAACACAUGUAUUAGAAAGAUAGAGUAAAGUAGUUGAGGGAAAAGCCUCAUAUCAUCUCUUCCUGUUUUCAUUACUCUUUUCACCUUUAAUUCUGGGUCUGAAGAGACUUUAUCAUGAUAAAUGGUGUAUGUAUACUCAGGCUCUUGUAACAAUUGGCAGUAUAGUAAGAUCUCUUUUUCUUACUGGCAUUAAUUUAAUGAUUAAGGACUAUUUAAUCAAGUUGAUAAUUGUACUUAACUUUUUUUUUUAUAUCUUUUUAAGAUGGGGUUUCACCAUGAUGGCCAGGCUGUUCUUGAGCUCCUGACCUCAGGUGAUCCACCCACCUCAGCCUCCCAAAGUGCUAGGAUUGCAGGCGGGAGCCACCAGGCAGGUCUGAUAACUGUACUUAACUCUUAUGUUAGAUAAGAAGAGUGUUUGUAGUUUCUGAGAGUACACAUUAAGAUAGUGCCUUUACUCUUGUUUUAUUUGAAAAACUCUUUGAGGUAAUACAUAAUUGUUGUGAAAAUUUCAUAGAAUAUUGCAGCAUAUGAAGAAGAAAGUGCUUUUUGAGAAGGUGAGAAUUUUGUUUUCCAAACUAUCAGUCAUUGAUGUGCUUCCUUGUUACUUGUGCCAUAUAUUUGUAUCAUCUGUACUGUUAAUUCAUAACAGUUUUCUUAAAAUUUACUAAAGAAAUCCAAAAAUCCUUAGUGAUAAGAGCUGUGAACUCGUACAUUGAUGUGUAUUACAUAAAUAAUUAGAUAAUAAACUUAAGCCUCUGCUUUCAUUUUAUUUGUCAAAUGAGGUUAGUGUGCCACCUCCCUUGUAAGGCUAUUAUAAAAUUAAACAGCAGGUGUAGAGUCAGUCAGCACAGCCCUAGUACAUAGGUGUUCCACAAAUACUAUCAUUCAAUAUAAUAACUUGUAAAUAACCUUGUGACUUUUUCAAAGCUAGUUCUCACACAAGCAUCUCAUUUGAAAAGUGUUUACAUAGUAUUCAUUGUAAGAAUAUACUAUGAUUUAUGAAACAGUGUUUUGUAAUUACUUUUUGAGCUUCUUUGUAAAAAGAGCAACAAAUAACAGGAUUGGUUUCUAAUAUGUAUCACCAGAUUUCCCUCCCAAAGGACUGUAUUAAUUUGCUGUUCUGUCAGUUUAGACUUCAUGAUUUAAUUAUUUGGUGGGGGCAAUAGUGGGUUUUAAAAUAAUACUUCUUUUUGUUUUAGUUAACACUAUUCACUAGCCAUUAAGGAACACAUUAAUUACUAUUCUUGUGCAAUUUUCUGAGAGGUAGGUAUGCCUGCCUCUGUGUGUGGGCGUGUGUGUGGGCUUGUGUGUGUGUGUGAUGCAAUUUAUGUGUGUGGUAUUAGAAAUUGAGAAAUUAUGGUAAUUUUAUAUUAUUUUGGUCAGGGAUCCGUGGAAUGUCAGAAGUGUCUCCAAUUUGUAGCCGCUGUUUUCAAGUCUAUAGGGUCCAUGGGAGAAAGAUUUGUAUUAAAAAUUUGCACUGACAAAUGGAAAACAAAAGGACUGUGUAUUUUAUUCUUAACUAGGACUUGGGCAGCAAACUCCAGGGUAGAAAGAAGACUGGAAUGAGACCAGCUGGCUUAUGUGGAAAUGCUGGGUUUUUUUCCGGAAUCUAGUUAAGCUUAAAUUGUUUCAAACUAAAGCAGGCCAUGAGAUGAACCCUUUUCAUCUCCCCAGGACUCAAACACACUGCGAUCUUUCCCCCACAUUUCACUCCUUUCUGUCAGUUGCCCCAGGUAAUGUAACCAGAGCGAGCGCAUUUCCCCUGACUGACUGCUGAUCUGGCCUUGGACACUUGCCCUGGCCUCUUCUGCCCAUGCAGUAGGUUUGGCCCUGGCUAUCCCUGACAGUGCGGGGUACAGGAGGGAGUGACGACCUUCUCAACCACUUCAGUCACAUGGAAGAAGGAGAAGAGUGAGCUCACAUCUGUACGCUGACCUUUUAACAGUGACGCUGCCCAGUGACACACAGACCUAGUGUUCUCACAUCUGCCUUCUUCCUUCCUGAGAAUCAGGAGAAACAGCAGCUCAGGCUUGAUCUCUCACCUCAGAAGACAGCAUGUAAAAACUUGCAGCCAUUCUCAGAAGCACUGGUUUUCUGUUGGGUUAUUGCCUGUGUCAAAUGAGCCAGAAAGAGGUGGAGUAACAACUGACUUGCUGAGAAUUGCACACAAUCCAUGUCCCCCCACCGCACCGCUCCUCAGCUACACAUCAGCCUGCAGAGAGUGACUUCUUACUCUUGAGACGUUCUUUCCUCUUGCUUAAUGGUUCAUGACAUGUUCUUCAUUUUCCUCCUCUCUCUCUCUCUUUCUUUUUUUCCUGGCUUAUUCUCCUGUAUUUGGCCGUUGGAUGUUGAUGUUCACCCAUCAGCCCUAGGCCCUUCUGUCAUUCUUCUUUGCCUAAGCAGUCACAGCCAUGUCCAUGGCCUCAGUCAUGGGCAAAUCCAAUAUUUUCAUCUCUACCCCAACUUCUGCUGUUGAGAGCUCGAUCUACUAAUACCUGAUUGCCUACUGGACAGAUCUACUUGGAUAUCUAAAAAGUAUUCUAUAUUCAGCAUGUCCAAGAUUUGUUUGAUAUUCUUCCUACAAAAAUGCUGUUUACUAUCUUAACGAAAGGCAUCACCGGCUGGGCAACGGUGGCUUACCUCUGUAAUCCCAGCACUUUGGGAGGCCGAGGUGGGUGGAUUGCCUGAGGUCAGGAGUUCAAGUCUAACCUGGCCAAAAGGGUGAAACUCCCUCUACU